rnacentral:rRNA from 1 species
AGCGAACGCUGGCGGCAGGCCUAACACAUGCAAGUCGAACGGACCCUUCGGGGUUAGUGGCGGACGGGUGAGUAACACGUGGGAACGUGCCUUUAGGUUCGGAAUAGCUCCUGGAAACGGGUGGUAAUGCCGAAUGUGCCCUUCGGGGGAAAGAUUUAUCGCCUUUAGAGCGGCCCGCGUCUGAUUAGCUAGUUGGUGAGGUAACGGCUCACCAAGGCGACGAUCAGUAGCUGGUCUGAGAGGAUGACCAGCCACACUGGGACUGAGACACGGCCCAGACGGCGACGGGGGGCCGCAGGGGGGAAUGAUGGAGAAUGGGCGGAAGGGUGAUAAAGAAAUGCCGGGGGAGGUAAGAAGGACUUCGGGUGGGAAAAGGAUUUGGGUGGGGAAGAAAUACAAUGCGCGAAUAACCUGGGGGGAGGAGGGUACCUGAAGAAGAAGCGCGGGCUAACUACGGG